rnacentral:rRNA from 1 species
AGUGAACGCUGGCGGUAGGCCUAACACAUGCAAGUCGAACGGCAGCACAGAGGAGCUUGCUCCUUGGGUGGCGAGUGGCGGACGGGUGAGGAAUACAUCGGAAUCUACUCUGUCGUGGGGGAUAACGUAGGGAAACUUACGCUAAUACCGCAUACGACCUACGGGUGAAAGCAGGGGAUCUUCGGACCUUGCGCGAUUGAAUGAGCCGAUGUCGGAUUAGCUAGUUGGCGGGGUAAAGGCCCACCAAGGCGACGAUCCGUAGCUGGUCUGAGAGGAUGAUCAGCCACACUGGAACUGAGACACGGUCCAGACUCCUACGGGAGGCAGCAGUGGGGAAUAUUGGACAAUGGGCGCAAGCCUGAUCCAGCCAUACCGCGUGGGUGAAGAAGGCCUCGGUUCGGUAAGUACCGUUUACGUUUGGUAAGGUAAAGUACUAACG